AUUGAACUCUGGCGGCAGGCCUAACACAUGCAAGUCGAACGGUAACAGGAAGAAGCUUGCUUCUUUGCUGACGAGUGGCGGACGGGUGAGUAAUGUCUGGGAAACUGCCUGAUGGAGGGGGAUAACUACUGGAAACGGUAGCUAAUACCGCAUAACGUCGCAAGACCAAAGAGGGGGACCUUCGGGCCUCUUGCCAUCGGAUGUGCCCAGAUGGGAUUAGCUAGUAGGUGGGGUAACGGCUCACCUAGGCGACGAUCCCUAGCUGGUCUGAGAGGAUGACCAGCCACACUGGAACUGAGACACGGUCCAGACUCCUACGGGAGGCAGCAGUGGGGAAUAUUGCACAAUGGGCGCAAGCCUGAUGCAGCCAUGCCGCGUGUAUGAAGAAGGCCUUCGGGUUGUAAAGUACUUUCAGCGGGGAGGAAGGGAGUAAAGUUAAUACCUUUGCUCAUUGACGUUACCCGCAGAAGAAGCACCGGCUAACUCCGUG
rnacentral:rRNA from 1 species